UGUGAAGUCAUUGAUGCCAUGCUUCCAGGAAAAGCCUCUAAGCUUCAGAUUGUAAGGAAUCGUACCCCAAACCGACACAGGUGGUCGGGUAGAGAAUACCAAGGCGCUUGAGAGAACUCGGGUGAAGGAACUAGGCAAAAUGGUACCGUAACUUCGGGAGAAGGUACGCUCUUGAUGGUGAAGUCCCUUGCGGAUGGAGCUGACGAGAGUCGCAGAUACCAGGUGGCUGCAACUGUUUAUUAAAAACACAGCACUGUGCAAAAUCGUAAGAUGACGUAUACGGUGUGACGCCUGCCCGGUGCCGGAAGGUUAAUUGAUGGGGUUAGACUUCGGUCGAAGCUCUUGAUCGAAGCCCCGGUAAACGGCGGCCGUAACUAUAACGGUCCUAAGGUAGCGAAAUUCCUUGUCGGGUAAGUUCCGACCUGCACGAAUGGCGUAAUGAUGGCCACGCUGUCUCCACCCGAGACUCAGUGAAAUUGAAAUCGCUGUGAAGAUGCAGUGUACCCGCGGCUAGACGGAAAGACCCCGUGAACCUUUACUACAGCUUGGCACUGAACAUUGACCCUACAUGUGUAGGAUAGGUGGGAGGCUUUGAAGCACGUACGCCAGUAUGUGUGGAGCCGUCCUUGAAAUACCACCCUUGUAGUGUUGAUGUUCUAACGUCGACCCCUUAUCGGGGUUGCGGACAGUGCCUGGUGGGUAGUUUGACUGGGGCGGUCUCCUCCCAAAGAGUAACGGAGGAGCACGAAGGUGGGCUAAUCACGGUUGGACAUCGUGAGGUUAGUGCAAUGGCAUAAGCCCGCUUGACUGCGAGAAUGACAAUUCGAGCAGGUGCGAAAGCAGGUCAUAGUGAUCCGGUGGUUCUGAAUGGAAGGGCCAUCGCUCAACGGAUAAAAGGUACUCCGGGGAUAACAGGCUGAUACCGCCCAAGAGUUCAUAUCGACGGCGGUGUUUGGCACCUCGAUGUCGGCUCAUCACAUCCUGGGGCUGAAGUCGGUCCCAAGGGUAUGGCUGUUCGCCAUUUAAAGUGGUACGCGAGCUGGGUUUAGAACGUCGUGAGACAGUUCGGUCCCUAUCUGCCGUGGGCGUUGGAAGAUUGAAGGGGGCUGCUCCUAGUACGAGAGGACCGGAGUGGACGAACCUCUGGUGUUCGGGUUGUGUCGCCAGACGCAUUGCCCGGUAGCUAAGUUCGGAAUCGAUAACCGCUGAAAGCAUCUAAGCGGGAAGCGAGCCCUGAGAUGAGUCUUCCCUGAUACUUUAAGUAUCCUAAAGGGUUGUCGGAGACUACGACGUUGAUAGGUCAGGUGUGUAAGUGCUGUGAGGCAUUGAGCUAACUGAUACUAAUUGCCCGUGAGGCUUAACCAUACAACACCCAAGGGGUUU
rnacentral:rRNA from 1 species